rnacentral:rRNA from 1 species
GUCUACGGCCAUGCCACCCUGAACAAGCCCGAUCCCAUCUGAUCUCGGAAACUAAGCAGGGUCGGGCCUGGGUAGUGCUUGGAUGGGAGACCACCUAGGAAGACCAGGUGCUGUAGGCG